rnacentral:rRNA from 1 species
CGGAGCGGCGAACGGGUGAGUAACACGUGGGCAACCUGCCCCUAGCUCUGGGACAACUCCUCGAAAGAGGGGCUAAUACCGGAUAUGACCAUCAGGUGCAUGUUUGAUGGUGGAAAGUUUUUCGGCUAGGGAUGGGCCCGCGGCCUAUCAGCUUGUUGGUGGGGUAAUGGCCCACCAAGGCGACGACGGGUAGCCGGCCUGAGAGGGCGAUCGGCCACACUGGGACUGAGACACGGCCCAGACUCCUACGGGAGGCAGCAGUGGGGAAUAUUGCGCAAUGGGCGAAAGCCUGACGCAGCGACGCCGCGUGAGGGAUGAAGGCCUUCGGGUUGUAAACCUCUUUCAGCAGGGACGAAGCGCAAGUGACGGUACCUGCAGAAGAAGCACCGGCCAACUACGUGCCAGCAGCCGCGGUAAUACGUAGGGUGCAAGCGUUGUCCGGAAUUAUUGGGCGUAAAGAGCUCGUAGGCGG